GAGGGUAUAGUUCAGUGGUAGAGUGCAUGCCUAGCAUGCAUGAGGUCCUGGGUUCAAUCCCCAGUACCUCCA
rfam:Camelus ferus unplaced genomic scaffold scaffold1500, whole genome shotgun sequence.